GUUUAAUACAAAACUCUCGUGUAUAUUCAUACAUGUACGUACUUAAAGGAAAAAGGAAACCACGAAUAUUUCAUAUUAGAGGUACGUUUUAAAAGUAAUCUACGUUUCAGCGAUUAAUACAAUUUUUUUCAUGUUUUGUGAAUGUUAUUCAUAUGGAGUAUUGUUAAAGUUUCCGCGUUCACUAACCAUAACGGCCUCGUACUUAAUUUACAUGUGACUUUCAAGGUUAACUAAAGAUACAUACGUAUAAGCUUCUUCAAUUUCGUAUAUUACAUGUUCAUAAGUCUACUUUUUUAAGUAAUAAAUUUACAAGAUGCCAUAAAUAGAAAUUGUUAAAAAAAGAAAAAAUCGGUAAUACAAUAUAGUAGGAUCAAAUUUGUUGCAAUGAGAUUUUUGAAUAUUUUAAUUGAACUAUUUGUUUCAAAAUAUAGUAUUUAUAUUUAAUUUAUCUUAUCUAAUAUUUAUAUCUCAUAUUUAUUAAGAAAUCUACAUUUUCGAAGUAAAAUAUUUUGUGCAAAAGAUUACAUCAAAAGUAUCGUCUGUGCAUGCGUGAGCAGUUACAUUUUACCGCGAACCUUUUCUGUUUUAAUGCGCAGAUGCAGAAAUAGGAAUGUAACCAGAAAUAAGAAAUGCUUGACGAUAAAACUGUUCAUCCAAGAAUCGAGAGGUAUUACAUCGUUUCUGUUUAAGGAUUCUAUUUUCCACGAGCUAUUGCAAGUGAUAUGUGAAAGGUGAUAUUCAGAAGUGGAGUAUACAUUAUACAACUGGUGCUCGUAGAAGUGGGCUGGAUGAUAAAUCUUCCUGCUGAAUCAAAUAAAAGCAAAGGUGUUCUCAUGCAUAAAUUCCGCACGCGUGCUAUGAUGUACAUAUACCGAUGAGAUAGUACUUAUAUGAUCAUAGCCAUUGUACAGUUCUGGUUGGUGGUCAAGAUUUCAAAGUGCAAUACUUCGUUCUCAUGGUUAACCAGGCAUGUCAUUUUUUCACUUUAGCCAGAGACAAGAACCUGGCUCCACGACAUUUCUCUGCUUCCUGGAUCUUAGAUAGAUAUCUUGUUGUAGUAUAUUAAAGCGUACCGCGUAACAUUGGUAGAGAAACAAAAACAUGAAAAUUCAGAAAGGAAGUUUCGUUACCGAUGGCAAAACAUCCCUGCUGAAGGCAGAACUUUUGGCACUUUUUCUAUGAGAUGCACUUUAGAUAACAACAAAUGCAAGUAUCAUAGAUCCUGCAUAUUUUGAGCAAAGUGAAACAGCCACGCGCGCUGAGUAUGGCGUCCAGCAGUGUACUGCUCAAACGAACGAAGCAGUUCCCGCCGUUGCUUACCUGUUUGGUACCACCAUAGGAAUACUUUCCGCCACCUAGUGUUCAGUAUUCCGUUGCAUACGUGUGCAAUCUAUUUCUACUCUACCGACAAACUUUUAUACUGCCUUUUAAAAAUUAAUCUGCUAUAGCAUUGUCAACACUAGCGUAUUUUCUAUAAUAGCUAUGCAAUUUGAUCUAAUAUAUUUCAAUUAU